rnacentral:rRNA from 1 species
GACGGAGGGUGCAAGCGAUGUUCGGAAUCAUUGGGCGUAAAGCGCGUGUAGGCGGUGAAUUAAGUCUGAUGUGAAAGCCCGGGGCUCAACCCCGGAAGUGCAUUGGAUAAUGGUUCACUAGAGGGCGAGAGAGGGAAGUGGAAUUCCUGGUGUAGGGGUGAAAUCCGUAGAUAUCAGGAGGAACAUCAGAGGCGAAGGUGGCUUCCGGGCUCGUUAAUGACGUUAAGACGCGAAAGCGUGGGGAGCAAACAGG